rnacentral:rRNA from 1 species
UGGGGAAUUUUGCGCAAUGGGCGAAAGCCUGACGCAGCAACGCCGCGUGGAGGAUGAAGGUCCUUGGAUUGUAAACUCCUGUCAGCGGGGAAAAAGGGAGGUGACCUCAUACGUCAUCGACUUGAUUGUACCCGCAGAGGAAGCCCCGGCUAACUCUGUGCCAGCAGCCGCGGUAAUACAGAGGGGGCAAGCGUUAUUCGGAAUUAUUGGGCGUAAAGGGCGCGUAGGCGGCUUUGCAAGUGACGGGUGAAAUCCCCCGGCUUAACCGGGGAACUGCCUGUCAGACUGCAUGGCUUGAGACCAGGAGAGGUGAGUGGAAUUCCCAGUGUAGCGGUGAAAUGCGUAGAUAUUGGGAGGAACACCAGUGGCGAAGGCGGCUCACUGGACUGGUACUGACGCUGAGGCGCGAAAGCGUGGGGAGCAAACAGG